rnacentral:rRNA from 1 species
CACGCUGUAAACGAUGAUUGCUAGGUGUGGGGGGACUUACCCCCUCCGUGCCGCAGCUAACGCAAUAAGCAAUCCACCUGAGGAGUACGGCCGCAAGGUUGAAACUCAAAGGAAUUGACGGGUCCCCGCACAAGCAGUGGAUUAUGUGGUUUAAUUCGAAGCAACGCGAAGAACCUUACCAGGUCUUGACAUCCAACUAACGAGGUAGAGAUACGUUAGGUGCCCUUUUAGGGAAAGUUGAGACAGGUGG